AUUGAACGCAGGCGGAAUGCUUUACACAUGCAAGUCGAACGGUAGAGGGGGCAACCCCUCGAGAGUGGCGAACGGGUGAGUAAUAUAUCGGAACGUGCCCAGUCGUGGGGGAUAACGUAGCGAAAGUUACGCUAAUACCGCAUACGAUCUAAGGAUGAAAGCGGGGGAUCGCAAGACCUAGCGCGAUUGGAGCGGCCGAUAUCAGAUUAGGUAGUUGGUGGGGUAAAGGCUCACCAAGCCAACGAUCUGUAGCUGGUCUGAGAGGACGACCAGCCACACUGGAACUGAGACACGGUCCAGACUCCUACGGGAGGCAGCAGUGGGGAAUUUUGGACAAUGGACGCAAGUCUGAUCCAGCCAUUCCGCGUGCAGGAUGAAGGCCCUCGGGUUGUAAACUGCUUUUGUACGGAACGAAAAGGUCUCUCUUAAUACGGGGGACUCAUGACGGUACCGUAAGAAUAAGCACCGGCUAACUACGUGCCAGCCGCCGCCGUAA
rnacentral:rRNA from 1 species